UACGUAGGGUGCGAGCGUUGUCCGGAAUUACUGGGCGUAAAGAGCUCGUAGGUGGUUUGUCGCGUUGUUCGUGAAAACUCACAGCUUAACUGUGGGCGUGCGGGCGAUACGGGCAGACUGGAGUACUGCAGGGGAGACUGGAAUUCCUGGUGUAGCGGUGAAAUGCGCAGAUAUCAGGAAGAACACCCGUGGCGAAGGCGGCUCUCUGGGACGGUACUGACGCUGAGACGCGAAAGCGUGGGGAGCAAACAGG
rnacentral:rRNA from 1 species